CGCAGUUUGGGAGUUGGGUGACAGGAGCACGGCCUUUCGCAUCCGCGCCGGCGCCGUCUCAGUCCUAACAGAAUCGUCAUCGCCAAGGAGUAGUCGGCGGCUGAGACGGUGCUUCUGCUGAUCGGAUUCAAUUUAUUCGUCGCCGGCGGGAGCUUCCUCAGUUGGGGCUUCGGCGCAAUCAAGCUUGGGCUGGAGAUAGAAAAUGGAAAUCGCUUGGGGGAAAUGAGGAUGCUAUGAAGUACGGACAAGAAUAAGAUGCACCUAAACGCUGCUAUUGGUUCAUUCCCCAGAUAAUAAAAUAAGAAAAAGAAAUGGAACAGAGAUUGGCUAUAACUUUCUUUUUAGUCUGUAAAUUUUUCACUGAACACGAUGAAUUCAUCCCCAUCCCCACCCCACCAAAACUGAUCUUAGUUCAGAACUUUUUUUGUUUGUAUACUGAGAAACAAAUUGUUUGUUCGUCAUUAAGGCUGGAAGAUUCUUAUGAAGUGGAGUA